ACACUCAUGUUCUGUUUCUCUAAUAAACCCAAAAUUUCCACAGCUUCCUUCACUUUACCCUCCUUGCAAAAAGCAUCCAGUUCAUCAAUAGUGCCCAUGAACUGCCUAUUUUCAGCUGUUUCAACCUAAUCAUCAGGUCUCACACUGUU